rnacentral:rRNA from 1 species
UAGGGAAUAUUGGACAAUGGGUGAGAGCCUGAUCCAGCCAUGCCGCGUGCAGGAAGAAGGCGUUAUGCGUUGUAAACUGCUUUUGCCAGGGGAUAAAAAGACCGUGCGCGGUUAAUUGAAGGUACCUGGUGAAUAAGCCACGGCUAACUACGUGCCAGCAGCCGCGGUAAUACGUAGGUGGCAAGCGUUGUCCGGAUUUAUUGGGUUUAAAGGGUGCGUAGGUGGCCCUGUAAGUCAGUGGUGAAAUAUCUCAGCUUAACUGAGAGGGUGCCAUUGAUACUGCAGGGCUUGAGUACAGAUGAGGUAGGCGGAAUUGACGGUGUAGCGGUGAAAUGCAUAGAUAUCGUCAAGAACACCGAUAGCGAAGGCAGCUUACCAAGCUGUAACUGACACUGAGGCGCGAAAGCAAGGGGAUCAAAC